GGAGUGCUCCUUCUCCAACACCAAACAUUGCGCCAGCAUCACAACCUAUUUCUGGCGAAAGCAACAGCUCAUCUCAAGAUGUACCGAAUCAGGCGGAAAAUCAGGGAAGACUUGAUGAACUAAUUGAACUUGUCAAAACGUUGGAUCUUCGUGUUAAAAAUUUGGAGAAUGACCCAAAGAAAAAAGAGUAAAUUUAAAUCGAAAGCAAGUACAUGUAUUUCUAAUUUCGCAAUUAAUAUUAUGCAAUUAAUAAACUAAAAAUAAUAUCAGCAUAAUUAGACACCUAAUCAUAGCUUUGUGAUGAGAUCCGUAGAAUCAGAAUGUAUUAUUUUAAUUAGAGUGUUAUAUAGAGGUGCAGGAAAUGUAUUUCAUUUUCGUUGUCAUAAUCAUGGAUAACUAUGUGUUAUUACUUACACUUAUUGUUAUUAGAUGUAUAAAAAAUAAUAAAACAAAGACUUGUC
rnacentral:sRNA from 1 species